rnacentral:rRNA from 1 species
UGAGGAAUAUUGGUCAAUGGACGCAAGUCUGAACCAGCCAAGUAGCGUGCAGGAUGACGGCCCUAUGGGUUGUAAACUGCUUUUAUAUGGGGAUAAAGUGGGGAACGUGUUCCCUUUUGCAGGUACCAUAUGAAUAAGGACCGGCUAAUUCCGUGCCAUCAGCCGCGGUAAUACGGAAGGUUCGGGCGUUAUCCGGAUUUAUUGGGUUUAAAGGGAGCGUAGGCCGUUUGGUAAGCGUGUUGUGAAAUGUAAGAGCUCAACUUUUAGAUUGCAGCGCGAACUGGCAGACUUGAGUGCGCACAACGUAGGCGGAAUUCAUGGUGUAGCGGUGAAAUGCUUAGAUAUCAUGACGAACUCCGAUUGCGAAGGCAGCUUACGGGAGCGCAACUGACGCUAAAGCUCGAAGGUGCGGGUAUCGAACGGGA